UUUUUAUACCAUUUUUCAUUCUUCAUUCUUCAUUUUCCCUUAAUUUCGCACUUCCAAACAAACAGGUAUUAUGUUAGAGAUACAGCGCAUACGCAACGAGAAAGAA
rnacentral:ribozyme from 1 species